rnacentral:tRNA from 1 species
GCCCCUGUCCGGCCGUCGCACCACUCGACGACAGCCGCCGCAGCGGGCUCGGAUCGAACUCCUAAAGCGGGUGUCGCAGGUUCGAAUCCUGCCGGGGGCA